rnacentral:rRNA from 1 species
GAGUUUGAUCCUGGCUCAGGAUGAACGCUAGCGGCAGGCCUAAUACAUGCAAGUCGAGGGGUAGAGGAGAGCUUGCUUUCCUUGAGACCGGCGCACGGGUGCGUAACGCGUAUGCAACCUACCUUUAUCUGGGGGAUAGCCCGAAGAAAUUCGGAUUAACACCGCAUAAAAUCACAGUACGGCAUCGUACAAUGAUCAAAUAUUUAUAGGAUAAAGAUGGGCAUGCGUGUCAUUAGUUAGUUGGCGGGGUAACGGCCCACCAAGACCACGAUGACUAGGGGAUCUGAGAGGAUGACCCCCCACACUGGUACUGAGACACGGACCAGACUCCUACGGGAGGCAGCAGUAAGGAAUAUUGGUCAAUGGAGGCAACUCUGAACCAGCCAUGCCGCGUGCAGGAAGACGGCCCUCUGGGUUGUAAACUGCUUUUAUUCGGGAAUAAACCUACUUACGUGUAAGUAGCUGAAUGUACCGAAGGAAUAAGGAUCGGCUAACUCCGUG